UCCAUUAGGGCUAUUAGCAUAUUAAUUAUAGUUAUCUCAAAUUCCUAGUCUGAUAGUUCCAAAUUCUCUACCAUAGCUGUGAGUGGUUAUGAUACAGGGAAUUCUUUUCCUAUUUAAACUGAAAGACAAAUAUUUUAUUAGAAUACUUACUUUUAAGAAAUCGAUUCUAGGAACUUCUUAAGAAAGUGACAAAAAAUAAAGAAAGGCAGUGACAAAUGAUAUAUUAGUUUUCUAUUGCAGCAUAUAACAAAACAAAUUUAGAGAAUAAAAAAAAACACUUUAUUAGCUCACAGUUCUAUAGGUUUAAAAUCUGAACAGGCUCUACUGGGUUCUAUGCUUGGGGUCUUACAAGGCUGAAAUGAAAGUAUUUUCUAGCCAGGGCUCUUUUCUGUAGGCUCUAGGAGAGAAUUUACUUCUAAGAUCGCUCAGAUUGCUGGCCAAUUUUAGUUACUUGUGGUUGUAGAACUAAGGUCCCUGCUUCCUUAUUGGCCAUCAGUGGAGGGUUGCUCAGCUCCCACAGGCUGCUCUUCCAUCCUUGCACAUGGAUCCUUCCAUCUUCAAAGCCAGGAAUGGUGCAUCAGAUCUUUCUUGUGCUUUGAGUCUCUCUGUCUUCCCCCCUCUGCCACCAGCCAGAAAACGUUCUUUGCUUUAAGACCUCACAGGACCAGAUCAUGCCCACCCAGAUAAUCUCCCUAUCUUAAGGUCACUCGUGCCAUAUAACAUAACAUAGUCAGGGGAGUGAUAUAACAUUUACAACUUCCAGGGCUUAGGGAAGGAUGUAUAUAUAAUUUUGCCUACCACAAAUGGGUAUCUAGAGGACUUUUAGGAUGGGAGAAAGUCUGGAGAAUUCAGCACACUAGAAACUGUUCUAAACACUAGGCCAAUUCAGUCUGCAGAAAGGAAAUGGGUAAUAGGUUUUACAUUUUUCAAUAUCUGCAUAUAGAACAAAUGGUACACAUGUAUUCAUUCCACAAAAGAGAUUAGUUAUCUGUUAUGUGCCAAAGUGUGCCCGAGAUGUUGGAAAGGUAAAGAUGAAUAAGACCCACUCCAGCUCUCAGGGAGCUCACAACUUGCCGUCCAGAGAGUAGAAGCUGGCAUGAAAACCUUUAAGAUGUUCUUGUCUGAUAGACUUCUCUAGGAUGCUCCUUUGUUCCUUCUCUCUACGAUGAAACUAUAUAUGAUAAACAUCAAAUCCUCUUCCUGUGACAUCCAUCUCUGUAGAUAUUCUAGGACACCCUUCUCUGUGAUGAACCUGUUUAUGAUGCAAUCAGUCUGUAAUGCCUCUCUCCCUACUGUCCCUCCCUAUAGUGCCCCUUGCUACAGCGCUUCUCUUCACUACACCUGCCUCUAUGAAGCCAUAAGCUAACAUGCCUGUUUUUAGGAAUCUCCAUUCUGAGAAGCCACUCUUUUUUUUAAAAUUAUUUUUCAUUGUGGUAAAAUAUUCACAGCAUAAAAUUUAACCUUUAAACCAUUUUAAGUGUGUCAUUUAGUGGCAUUAAUAAGUACAUUAACAUCAUCGUAUAAUCAUCACCACUAUCUAUUUCUGGAAGUUUUUCAUCCUCCCAAAUGGAAACUCUGUAUCCGUUAAACAAGAACUCCUCAUUUCCCCCUUCUCCUCCCUGCCAGGCCCUGAUAACCUCUAUUCUCCUUUCUAUUUUUUUUUCAUUUUAUUCUAGAACUCUAUUAUGCUGCUCUUUGCUUCCUCUGCCCCCCCAGCUUUAUAGAGGUACGGUUGACAAAAUUAUAUAUAUUUAAAGUAUACAACAUGAUGAAUUUUUCUAUGUAUACAUUGUGAAAUGGUUACCAUGCUCAUGUUAAUUGACACAUUCAUCACCUUAUACAGUGAUCUUUUCUGUGUGUGUGGCGAGGAUAUUUAAGAUUUACUCUAUUAGCAAAUUUUAAGUAUACAAUGCAAUAACUAUAGUCAU
rnacentral:lncRNA from 1 species